UUUAUGGAGAGUUUGAUCCUGGCUCAGGAUGAACGCUGGCGGCGUGCCUAAUACAUGCAAGUCGAGCGAACGGACGAGAAGCUUGCUUCUCUGAUGUUAGCGGCGGACGGGUGAGUAACACGUGGAUAACCUACCUAUAAGACUGGGAUAACUUCGGGAAACCGGAGCUAAUACCGGAUAAUAUUUUGAACUGCAUGGUUCAAAAGUGAAAGACGGUCUUGCUGUCACUUAUAGAUGGAUCCGCGCUGCAUUAGCUAGUUGGUAAGGUAACGGCUUACCAAGGCAACGAUGCAUAGCCGACCUGAGAGGGUGAUCGGCCACACUGGAACUGAGACACGGUCCAGACUCCUACGGGAGGCAGCAGUAGGGAAUCUUCCGCAAUGGGCGAAAGCCUGACGGAGCAACGCCGCGUGAGUGAUGAAGGUCUUCGGAU
rnacentral:rRNA from 1 species